ensembl:lncRNA
GUGUGUGUGUGUGUACAGAGACCUGCAGUGUGUGUGUGUGUGUGUGUGUGUGUGUGUGUGUGUGUGUGUGUGUGUACCUGCAGUGUGUGUGUGUGUGUGUGUGUGUGUGUACAGAGACCUGCAGUGUGUGUGUGUGUGUGUGUGUGCAGACCUGCAGUGUGUGUCUUUCAGUGUGCACCUUCCAGACAACCGGACCAGAUGGACGUCACACUCGCACACUUUGGACUUUAAUGCUGUUACACUUGACGUCCUUGAGACUUGAACCACCACUCAAGAUCUCAAGUUUCCAGACAAAAAUCAGCGACAGCCUGAAAAGGCGCCGGUGGCCGAGCGUCUUUCUGCCUUCAGAGGAUUUAGUGUCAACUUUGCGAAGAAGGAGCGCGACUAACGCAGCUUUCGGAAAGGAACGUCAUCGCUGAAUACUCGAUCGCGAUUCGUCAAUGACGGCAUUCUACGCUCUGUUGUCUCCGUCGUCAUGGACACCGCUCUGAUCCCGUACCUGCCGAAGAGAAGCUACAAAACUAGACCUGUUAUUCUUUAAAAGCCAUAUUUCAUUCCUGCUGACACGGCGCCUUCAGGGUCCCGCAGGACUCUCAUUUCGACUUUGUGUCGACGUGGACUCCCCCCCCCCCUCCCCCCCGAGGGGCUGACGUGACCCCCGCCUACCCGUGUGCAGAUUCCCCGGGUCACAGCCAGACGAACUCCCCCCCCCCCCCCCCCCCCCUCCUCUGCCGUCUCAUGUAAAAGCUCCAGGGUUACAGCAGACGUGUUGUGAUCGUGUGCGCCUCAUUGCCUUCCCUGCUGGGAGCCAUCGCAGCCUAUCAUGCAUCCACGAAGCUGUGUGUGUGUGUGUGUGUGUGUGUGGGGGGGGGGCUGUGAUUUCACCAGCGCGGUGCGCAGACACGGUGAAAUACGGCCUCUCUUGUGUCGAUACGUUCGGGUCGUAUGACGAGACGAAGCGCUCUUUCAUCCUCGUCAACGGAAUAAAACAAACCUGGAUCUGAAGUUUACAGUCGUGAAAAUGUUCUUGUUGACAAACCGGUUGGCAGCUGCGAACUGAUGACCUAAUAGCUCCUGAUCAUUUGAGGCUCAAUAAGUCAGGAAGAUGUUGAGAUCUUUAACCCGCACGUGUCCUCCUGCAUGAGGUGAAGUGGGCCUCGUAGCCCACGGGCAGCGUCUCUGUGCCUGGGGGGGCAUCUCCAGUCCACAGAUGGACGAGCAGUGGGGAUAAGAUGACUGCCGUCCGCUGGCAGAUGGUACGAGUUCCCCUCAGCCGAGAGUUGUGACUCCAGCUCUCGGCCUGUGUGUGUGUGUGUGUGUGUGUGUGUGUGUGUGGGGGGGGGGGGGGGGGGGGGGGUGCAGAUUAAUGUGUGUAUCUGUUUCAGGGUCAGAAAUUAGCAGGUGCUGAGGACAAAAGUGCCCUUGAUAGUCAACAUUGCACACGUUGCCGUUCUGGCCGACGUAACAUUUCUAAAUUAUUGAUCGGUUCUCGCUGAACUGUGAGAGAAAAAAAGCACAUUUACACUUAUGAGCUGUUAAAGAAAUGAAGUAUAUGUCUCAGCGUAUAUAUAAUAUACAAGAAGCGCCGUAUUGUCUCAGCCAACCAGCUUCCACUUAUUACACUUAAUAAAUAUACUUAUAACUGUGUGUGCAGCCGCAGUAGUUUGUGAAUCAGGGCCACGGAUUGUUUUGUGAGGACAAAGUGACCGUGACCUUUGACCUUUGCUCUGUGUUAUUCUUAUCCCCUCUGUAUUUACCGACCCCCCCUGUGUGUGUGUGUGUGUGUGUGUGUGUGUGUGUGUGUGUGUGUGUGUGUGUGUCUGCAGUUAAGUGAAUGUUGUGUCUGUGGAGGCAGAUUACGAGAGGAACGUGGCAGAAGAAAAGAAAAGAACGGUAGAAAUUAAAGGAUAGAGUGUGUGUGUGGAAA